rnacentral:rRNA from 1 species
GACAAACGCUGGCGGCGUGCUUAACACAUGCAAGUCGAACGGAAAGGCCCUGCUUUUGUGGGGUGCUCGAGUGGCGAACGGGUGAGUAACACGUGAGUAACCUGCCCUUGACUUUGGGAUAACUUCAGGAAACUGGGGCUCAUACCGGAUAGGAGCUCCUGCUGCAUGGUGGGGGUUGGAAAGUUUCGGCGGUUGGGGAUGGACUCGCGGCUUAUCCGCUUGUUGGUGGGGUAGUGGCUUACCAAGGCUUUGACGGGUAGCCGGCCUGGGAGGGUGACCGGCCACAUUGGGACUGAGAUACGGCCCAGACUCCUACGGGAGGCAGCAGUGGGGAAUAUUGCACAGUGGGCGGAAGCCUGAUGCAGCAACGCCGCGUGCGGGAUGACGGCCUUCGAGUUGUAAACCGCUUUCGCCUGUGACGAAGCGUGAGUGACGGUAAUGGGUAAAGAAGCACCGGCUAACUACGUG